rnacentral:rRNA from 1 species
GCGAUAAGCGCCGGUAAGGUGAUAUGAACCGUUAUAACCGGCGAUACCCGAAUGGGGAAACCCAGUGUGACUCGUCACACUAUCAUUAACUGAAUCCAUAGGUUAAUGAGGCGAACCGGGGGAACUGAAACAUCUAAGUACCCCGAGGAAAAGAAAUCAACCGAGAUUCCCCCAGUAGCGGCGAGCGAACGGGGAGGAGCCCAGAGCCUGAAUCAGCAUGUGUGUUAGUGGAAGCGUCUGGAAAGGCGCGCGAUACAGGGUGACAGCCCCGUACACAAAAGCGCAUGUGCUGUGAGCUCGAUGAGUAGGGCGGGACACGUGGUAUCCUGUCUGAAUAUGGGGGGACCAUCCUCCAAGGCUAAAUACUCCUGACUGACCGAUAGUGAACCAGUACCGUGAGGGAAAGGCGAAAAGAACCCCGGCGAGGGGAGUGAAAAAGAACCUGAAACCGUGUACGUACAAGCAGUGGGAGCACCCUUUGGGUGUGACUGCGUACCUUUUGUAUAAUGGGUCAGCGACUUAUAUUCUGUAGCAAGGUUAACCGAAUAGGGGAGCCGGAGGGAAACCGAGUCUUAAUUGGGCGUUAAGUUGCAGGGUAUAGACCCGAAACCCGGUGAUCUAGCCAUGGGCAGGUUGAAGGUUGGGUAACACUAACUGGAGGACCGAACCGACUAAUGUUGAAAAAUUAGCGGAUGACCUGUGGCUGGGGGUGAAAGGCCAAUCAAACCGGGAGAUAGCUGGUUCUCCCCGAAAGCUAUUUAGGUAGCGCCUCGUGAAUUCAUCUCCGGGGGUAGAGCACUGUUUCGGCUAGGGGGCCAUCCCGGCUUACCAACCCGAUGCAAACUGCGAAUACCGGAGAAUGUUAUCACGGGAGACACACGGCGGGUGCUAACGUCCGUCGUGAAGAGGGAAACAACCCAGACCGCCAGCUAAGGUCCCAAAGUCAUGGUUAAGUGGGAAACGAUGUGGGAAGGCCCAGACAGCCAGGAUGUUGGCUUAGAAGCAGCCAUCAUUUAAAGAAAGCGUAAUAGCUCACUGGUCGAGUCGGCCUGCGCGGAAGAUGUAACGGGGCUAAACCAUGCACCGAAGCUGCGGCAGCGACACUGUGUGUUGUUGGGUAGGGGAGCGUUCUGUAAGCCUGCGAAGGUGGCCUGUGAGGGUUGCUGGAGGUAUCAGAAGUGCGAAUGCUGACAUAAGUAACGAUAAAGCGGGUGAAAAGCCCGCUCGCCGGAAGACCAAGGGUUCCUGUCCAACGUUAAUCGGGGCAGGGUGAGUCGACCCCUAAGGCGAGGCCGAAAGGCGUAGUCGAUGGGAAACGGGUUAAUAUUCCCGUACUUGGUGUUACUGCGAAGGGGGGACGGAGAAGGCUAUGUUGGCCGGGCGACGGUUGUCCCGGUUUAAGCGUGUAGGUGUGUGUUCCAGGUAAAUCCGGUUCACUUUAACACUGAGGCGUGACGACGAGGCACUACGGUGCUGAAGCAACAAAUGCCCUGCUUCCAGGAAAAGCCUCUAAGCAUCAGGUAACAUCAAAUCGUACCCCAAACCGACACAGGUGGUCAGGUAGAGAAUACCAAGGCGCUUGAGAGAACUCGGGUGAAGGAACUAGGCAAAAUGGUGCCGUAACUUCGGGAGAAGGCACGCUGACACGUAGGUGAAGUGAUUUACUCAUGGAGCUGAAGUCAGUCGAAGAUACCAGCUGGCUGCAACUGUUUAUUAAAAACACAGCACUGUGCAAACACGAAAGUGGACGUAUACGGUGUGACGCCUGCCCGGUGCCGGAAGGUUAAUUGAUGGGGUCAGCGCAAGCGAAGCUCCUGAUCGAAGCCCCGGUAAACGGCGGCCGUAACUAUAACGGUCCUAAGGUAGCGAAAUUCCUUGUCGGGUAAGUUCCGACCUGCACGAAUGGCGUAAUGAUGGCCAGGCUGUCUCCACCCGAGACUCAGUGAAAUUGAACUCGCUGUGAAGAUGCAGUGUACCCGCGGCAAGACGGAAAGACCCCGUGAACCUUUACUAUAGCUUGACACUGAACAUUGAGCCUUGAUGUGUAGGAUAGGUGGGAGGCUUUGAAGUGUGGACGCCAGUCUGCAUGGAGCCGACCUUGAAAUACCACCCUUUAAUGUUUGAUGUUCUAACGUGGACCCGUUACCCGGGUUGCGGACAGUGUCUGGUGGGUAGUUUGACUGGGGCGGUCUCCUCCUAAAGAGUAACGGAGGAGCACGAAGGUUGGCUAAUCCUGGUCGGACAUCAGGAGGUUAGUGCAAUGGCAUAAGCCAGCUUGACUGCGAGCGUGACGGCGCGAGCAGGUGCGAAAGCAGGUCAUAGUGAUCCGGUGGUUCUGAAUGGAAGGGCCAUCGCUCAACGGAUAAAAGGUACUCCGGGGAUAACAGGCUGAUACCGCCCAAGAGUUCAUAUCGACGGCGGUGUUUGGCACCUCGAUGUCGGCUCAUCACAUCCUGGGGCUGAAGUAGGUCCCAAGGGUAUGGCUGUUCGCCAUUUAAAGUGGUACGCGAGCUGGGUUUAGAACGUCGUGAGACAGUUCGGUCCCUAUCUGCCGUGGGCGCUGGAGAACUGAGGGGGGCUGCUCCUAGUACGAGAGGACCGGAGUGGACGCAUCACUGGUGUUCGGGUUGUCAUGCCAAUGGCACUGCCCGGUAGCUAAAUGCGGAAGAGAUAAGUGCUGAAAGCAUCUAAGCACGAAACUUGCCCCGAG